UGGGAAUUUUGGACAAUGGGCGAAAGCCUGAUCCAGCAAUGCCGCGUGUGUGAAGAAGGCCUUCGGGCUGUAAAGCACUUUUGUCCGGAAAGAAAUCCUUGGCUCUAAUACAGUCGGGGGAUGACGGUACCGGAAGAAUAAGCACCGGCUAACUACGUGCCAGCAGCCGCGGUAAUACGUAGGGUGCAAGCGUUAAUCGGAAUUACUGGGCGUAAAGCGUGCGCAGGCGGUUUGCUAAGACCGAUGUGAAAUCCCCGGGCUCAACCUGGGAACUGCAUUGGUGGCUGGCAGGCUAGAGUAUGGCAGAGGGGGGUAGAAUUCCACGUGUAGCAGUGAAAUGCGUAGAGAUGUGGAGGAAUACCGAUGGCGAAGGCAGCCCCCUGGGCCAAUACUGACGCUCAUGCACGAAAGCGUGGGGAGCAAACAGGAUUAGAUACCCUGGUAGUCCACGCCCUAAACGAUGUCAACUAGUUGUUGGGGAUUCAUUUUCCUUAGUAACGUAGCUAACGCGUGAAGUUGACCGCCUGGGGAGUACGGUCGCAAGAUUAAAAACUCAAAGGAAUUGACGGGGUCAUAGCUGUUUCCUG
rnacentral:rRNA from 1 species